UCUCUUGACUUUAUUUUGUAAGGAUUCUAAAUGCUGCAAUGGUGCUGUAUUAUCUCUUUUGACUUUAUUUUGUAAGGAUUCUAAAUGCUGCAAUGGUGCUGUAUCAUCUCUUUUGACUUUAUUUUUUAAGGAUUCUAAAUGCUGCAAUGGUGCUGUAUUAUCUCUUUUGACUUUAUUUUCUAAGGAUUCUAAAUGCUGCAAUGGUGCUGUAUUAUCUCUAUUGACUUUAUUUUGUAAGGAUUCUAAAUGCAGCAAUGGUGCUGUAUUAUCUCUUUUGACUUUAUU
rnacentral:lncRNA from 1 species